CCUUCAGCAAGGCGACGAUAACAGCAGCGACAUCUUCAUGUUUAGAGUACAAACCUCUUCAGCGCUCCUGGUGUUUCAAAGGAAAAUGUGCCACAGAAGAAAAAGCAGCGCUUCCACUUUGACCUGUGGCUGUGUCUCACUGUGCAGAACUGGAUAUUAGACUUUGGAAGGCCCAUUGUUAUGAUCAUUCUUCCUCUGGAGUGGUUUCCACUGAACAAGCCCAGUGCUGGAGACUAUUUCCACAUGGCCUACAAUGUCAUAACACCAUUCCUAAUG